rnacentral:rRNA from 1 species
CGGUAAGGCCUUUCGGGGUACACGAGCGGCGAACGGGUGAGUAACACGUGGGUGAUCUGCCCUGCACUUCGGGAUAAGCCUGGGAAACUGGGUCUAAUACCGGAUAUGACCUCCUAUCGCAUGGUGGGUGGUGGAAAGAUUUAUCGGUGCAGGAUGGGCCCGCGUCCUAUCAGCUUGUUGGUGGGGUAAUGGCAUACCAAGGCGACGACGGGUAGCCGACAUGAGAGGGUGACCGGCCACACUGGGACUGAGACACGGCCCAGACUCGUACGGGAGGCAGCAGUGGGGAAUAUUGCACAAUGGGCGAAAGCCUGAUGCAGCGACGCCGCGUGAGGGAUGACGGCCUUCGGGUUGUAAACCUCUUUCAGCAGGGACGAAGCGCAAGUGACGGUACCUGCAGAAGAAGCACCGGCUAAUUACGUGCCAGCAGCCGCGGUAAUACGUAGGGUGCAAGCGUUGUCCGGAAUUACUGGGCGUAAAGAGUUCGUAGGCGGUUUGUCGCUUCGUUUGUGAAAACCAGCAGUUCAACUGCUGGCUUGCAGGCGAUACGGGCAGACUUGAGUCCUGCAGGGGAGACUGGAAUUCCUGGUGUAGCGGUGAAAUGCGCAGAUAUCAGGAGGAACACCGGUGGCGAAGGCGGGUUUCUGGGCAGUAACUGACGCUGAGGAACGAAAGCGUGGGUAGCGAACAGGAUUAGAUACCCUGGUAGUCCACGCCGUAAACGGUGGGCGCUAGGUGUGGGUUCCUUC